rnacentral:rRNA from 1 species
AGGAGCUUGCUCCUUGGAUCAGUGGCGAACGGGUGAGUAACACGUGAGUAACCUGCCCCAAACUCUGGGAUAAGCACUGGAAACGGUGUCUAAUACCGGAUACGAGCUUCAGCCGCAUGGCUAGGAGUUGGAAAGAAUUUCGGUUUGGGAUGGACUCGCGGCCUAUCAGCUAGUUGGUGAGGUAAUGGCCCACCAAGGCGACGACGGGUAGCCGGCCUGAGAGGGUGACCGGCCACACUGGGACUGAGACACGGCCCAGACUCCUACGGGAGGCAGCAGUGGGGAAUAUUGCACAAUGGGCGCAAGCCUGAUGCAGCAACGCCGCGUGAGGGACGGCGGCCUUCGGGUUGUAAACCUCUUUUAGUAGGGAAGAAGCGAAAGUGACGGUACCUGCAGAAAAAGCACCGGCUAACUACGUGCCAGCAGCCGCGGUAAUACGUAGGGUGCAAGCGUUGUCCGGAAUUAUUGGGCGUAAAGAGCUCGUAGGCGGUUUGUCGCGUCUGCUGUGAAAACCCGAGGCUCAACCUCGGGCCUGCAGUGGGUACGGGCAGACUAGAGUGCGGUAGGGGAGAUUGGAAUUCCUGGUGUAGCGGUGGAAUGCGCAGAUAUCAGGAGGAACACCAAUGGCGAAGGCAGAUCUCUGGGCCGUAACUGACGCUGAGGAGCGAAAGCAUGGGGAGCGAACAGGAUUAGAUACCCUGGUAGUCCAUGCCGUAAACGUUGGGAACUAGAUGUGGGGACCAUUCCACGGUCUCCGUGUCGCAGCUAACGCAUUAAGUUCCCCGCCUGGGGAGUACGGCCGCAAGGCUA